rnacentral:rRNA from 1 species
UCUAGAGAUUACUCCUACGGGAGGCAGCAGUAAGGAAUAUUGGUCAAUGCCCGGAAGGGUGAACCAGCCAUGCCGCGUGAAGGAUGACUGCCCUCUGGGUUGUAAACUUCUUUUGGAUGGGACGAAAAAACGGGAUUUAUCCUGGACUGACGGUACCAUCAGAAUAAGCACCGGCUAACUCCGUGCCAGCAGCCGCGGUAAUAAUCGUCGAC